ACCCAGAUACUGAAGAUACUAGA
rnacentral:piRNA from 1 species